GUGCAGCCGGAGAGGCGGCGGGGGAAGAGGACGAGGUGGAAGAAGCUGCGCGUGGAGCAGCGGUGGCAGCGGCCCCUUCCCGGGGUGCGGCGGGGACGGAGCCCGCGGGUGUCCGACCGCGGUGUCCCCCGUGUCCCCACGUGCAGGCUCCUCCGUGUUGCUCUCUGAAAGCAUUUCAAACUCGACACACAGAAGCUGUUUCUCAGUGAGCAGCUGUGGGGUAUUUGGCUGAUGGUUUUGACAGCAGAGAUGAAUUGAGGACGUGGCAUCUGCAGUCCUGACCUGGAAUUUGAACCCUUUAGUGCCUCUCCCUCCUCCCAGACGGAGAGGAGGCAGAAGAUCUCGGAAUCUUCUGAUUGCCAUCGAUCUGAUUUUGCUGAGCACUAGCCUCCUAUCACGUCUGUGUGUUCCUUGAGAGAUUAUUUCAAUCUGAAAAAAAACUCUAUAAGUAUCUUGAGAGCUGGAAAUCAGAUGAUCUGAUCUAACAUUUCUCCAGCAUUUAACAAUUACCUCUACAACAAGCACCUCAUUUAAAAAAAAACCCAAAACAUGAAGCAUAAGGAAAACCAUGAGAUAACAUUGCUGGUUUUGAGCCCUCACUUACAUGAUUUUCCUUUCUGAUAUUUUUGGAGGGAAGAGGGAAUUGGAUCAUAUUUUUAUCUUCUUUUUUUUUUUUCCCCACAUCUGUAAAGACUAGACAUUUCUUUAACAGAGGGGAAAAUAAAAUAAAUUGAGAUUUCCAGGUGGCAACAUGGCUGAAAGAAAACAUGAAUACUUGGAAAUUCAUGCUCAUUAGUACUGCCACAGAUGUGACUCUGUAGAGCUGAAGCUAACCAGUACCAGGGUAUAGGGAUGAGAACUGCACAUAAUUGAAGCCCUGCUUAAUUGAAAGCAAUUCUUGUCACAGACAGUGAUGGAGCAUCCUUGGGUGGAUCUACAUGUGUCCCUGUGGAUGUGUGCCCCAGGCCCUGCUGCCUGUGCUGGGGUGAGGCUCUGUGGGCGCAGGCAAGGGGUAGAAAAGUGGCUUUGCCAAGGAAGCCAAGCCAAGAGGAGCAGUGAGCCACCUCUGCACUGCAGCUUCAGGGGUGCUGCUGCACCCAGCACUCACCUGCCCCCUGCUUCUCCAGGGGUCCACGCUUGGAACAGCUGCUGGAAGGGAAUCAGGGCAUCAGGAAGGAAAUCCUGUGCACACAGGGGAAUGUCCUUUUUAUGCAGGAUCAUAAACAAAACCCUGCAAGAGUAGUGAUGGAUCCAGCAGCCCUGGGGAGGCCCCAUACUGCUGGAACCACCAGCUUCAUGGAACAUUUUCCUGGAAUCCAAUACUGGUUUUCUAGACUUAAAAACUGAUCACAUUCCCUUUUCUCCCUCCCUCCCAAAGGCAUUUUUUGUCAUCUGUGUCCAAAACUUCCAGGAGAAACUCCAUGAUUGGAGCAAUUUGGUCCAAUGCCAUGAGAAGGGACUGCUCCACACACUUUAGGAAGAGCAAAAAGGAGAAAGAAAAGAAGGUAAAGCCUUCUUUACCUCUGUUCUGUGCCUGACCACUCAUCAAAGCCAGCUGCCUCCUGUGCUGGCUUGAGGAAGUGACAGAUGUCUGUAGCCUUUACAGGUGCAGGGCCUGCAUUUCAUCAGUCUUUUUUCCAUGGAUGACCUGGAGUGUGGAUUAUUAGCAGCUCAGAUUUCUUUGGCCAAGGUGCUUUGUUGUGUACACAUCCGGGUUAAAGCCAAGCAAUAUUUCUGAUCCAUGUAGGCUUCUGACUCGGUCCUGCAUCUUUGGUGUUUACAAAAUGAUCAGAGCUUGAACUCUCCCUGUUCUGUUUCUUAAAUGUCAGCAGAUUUUUUUUUUUUUUAAUAAAACAAUGCAGCCUUCCCCUGCAAUGUUUGUAACCAAGAAACUGUGGCAUCACAAGAGCAUGAGGAAAUACUGGCUGAUUAAAACCAGUGUAAGAAAUGA